rnacentral:tRNA from 1 species
GGUUAUGUGGUGUAAUGGUUAGCACUUCAGACUGUGACUCGGACAAUCUGAGUUCAAAUCUUAAUAGAAUCU